rnacentral:rRNA from 1 species
AUUGAACGCUGGCGGCAUGCCUUACACAUGCAAGUCGAACGGGGUUGAGGGGCUUGCUCCUCAACUUAGUGGCGAACGGGUGAGUAAUGCAUCGGAACGUACCCAGGAGUGGGGGAUAACGUAGCGAAAGUUACGCUAAUACCGCAUAUUCUGUGAGCAGGAAAGCGGGGGAUCGCAAGACCUCGCGCUUCUGGAGCGGCCGAUGUCGGAUUAGCUAGUUGGUGAGGUAACGGCUCACCAAGGCGACGAUCCGUAGCUGGUCUGAGAGGAUGAUCAGCCACACUGGGACUGAGACACGGCCCAGACUCCUACGGGAGGCAGCAGUGGGGAAUUUUGGACAAUGGGGGCAACCCUGAUCCAGCCAUGCCGCGUGAGUGAAGAAGGCCUUCGGGUUGUAAAGCUCUUUCAGACGGAAAGAAAUUGCCUGGGUGAAUAUCCCGGGUAGAUGACGGUACCGUAAGAAGAAGCACCGGCUAACUACGUG